rnacentral:rRNA from 1 species
AUUGAACGCUGGCGGCAGGCUUAACACAUGCAAGUCGAACGAGCGGCGGACGGGUGAGUAAUGUCUGGGAAACUGACUGAUGGAGGGGGAUAACUACGGGAAACGGUAGCUAAUACCGCAUACCAUCGGAUGUGCCCAGAUGGGAUUAGCUAGGUGGUGGGGUAAUGGCUCACCUAGGCAACGAUCCCUAGCUGGUCUGAGAGGAUGACCAGCCACACUGGGACUGAGACACGGUCCAGACUCCGACGGGAGGCAGCAGUGGGGAAUAUUGCGCAAUGGGGGCAAGCCUGAUGCAGCCAUGCCGCGUGUGUGAAGAAGGCCUUCGGGUUGUAAAGUACUUUCAGUGAGGAGGCGUUAAUAGCAGAAGAAGCACCGGCUAACUCCGUGCCAGCAGCCGCGGUAAUUC